UUUCAGACUGAUGCUCAGAGGAUGCACAUCAUAGUUCUCCCUCUCUGGACACCUGAUCAUUUCCAGUUGUGUGAAUCUUGCAGUGAAGAUCAUUCCCGGGCAGUGGUCAGAAAAAAAGAGCUUUGACUUGAAGGGUUUUCCAAGCCAAGACUAUGGAGUUGACUGUGGGAUCUUCAUGCUGAUGUCUGCUCUGUACGUGGCACUGGAU